CCGGCACGGGUGAGUAACACGUAUCCAACCUGCCGUCUACCCUUGGACAGCCUUCUGAAAGGAAGAUUAAUACAAGAUGGCAUCAUGAGUCCGCAUGUUCACAUGAUUAAAGGUAUUCCGGUAGACGAUGGGGAUGCGUUCCAUUAGAUAGUAGGCGGGGUAACGGCCCACCUAGUCUUCGAUGGAUAGGGGUUCUGAGAGGAAGGUCCCCCACAUUGGAACUGAGACACGGUCCAA
rnacentral:rRNA from 1 species